rnacentral:lncRNA from 1 species
AGCGUUCCUGGUGCCCUAUUUCACGGCACCGACAAACGGAAUAUUACUUUUAAAACAGUAUGAAAUACCAGGUCCUGUCCUCGGAGCUAUUUCGGGGGAAUUCAAUUUUCGCUGAAUGGGACCAUUCUGCUCCUGCAGAGCAGCAAGCCUCAUCCUCUUGUUGCCCAGGAGACCUCAGCCAGCCUCAGGGCCCCUGUCCCAGAGACUGUGUUGCAGAGAGACCAGCCUUCCCUGCCUCUGGUGUCCCCAUCACUGAGGCCGUGACCGAGGAGCAGGUCGCGGGGAGAAUGUGCCCGGCUCUCCACACAGCGCUUCUCAAAUCCACUAAAAUCAACACAAUAAUUGAAAUAUUUUCAAGCUGAUUACACCGCAGCCCGAGGCUAGCCUGGUUGCUAAGGGUGAGCUCCACGGUUGCUAGGGGGAGUAAAUCAUCUUGCAUUAUUUGAUUUUUGUUAUAGAUAUGAAACCGCUACUCCCGCGAUUAAAUGUCUCUCAGCCUAACACCUAUGGGACCUGGGGAGAGAGGGAGAGAGGGGCUCCAACCUUGACCCUGUCAAAUAAAUAUCUCUAACUUUUCCUGUCUCGAAGCUUCCCAGCCAAACCUGUCUGUGGGUUGUUUUUUUCCUUUCCUUAACCUGACUUUAAAUAACAAAGCUGUGGGGACAGGGAGAUGAAGGGGAGGAAGCUGUCUACUCUAUGAACGAGCUCUCUGUGCUCAAACCUCUGUCACCAUCCCAGACCAGACGUGAUGGCACUGGUAGGUGCGAUCAACAACCCUCCGGUGCAGGGCACAGGCUGAAUUCUCUCCUCUAUGCUCAGCCCAGGCUGGCCCCUUCAGGGCUUAUCAGAGGGUGGGGUGCCAGGACUUGUCUGGCUCUUCCUCCUCUCUCAACAAGUUCUACCCACACCACAGCUUUGGGUGGCCAGUCCCCCUGGGUUGCAGAGGGUUGAGGGGCUGGGCAUCCUAGAGUCCCCCAAUUCCAGGAUGGAGGAACCGGAAGGAACAGGAAGAUCCAGACAGAGGCCCAGGG